rnacentral:rRNA from 1 species
GGCGAGCGGCGGACGGGUGAGUAAUGCCUAGGAUCUGCCCAGUCGAGGGGGAUAACAGUUGGAAACGACUGCUAAUACCGCAUACGCCCUACGGGGUGAAAGGAGGGGACCUUCGGCGCCUUCCGCGAUUGGAUGAACCUAGGUGGGAUUAGCUAGUUGGUGAGGUAAUGGCUCACCAAGGCGACGAUCCCUAGCUGUUCUGAGAGGAUGAUCAGCCACACUGGGACUGAGACACGGCCCAGACUCCUACGGGAGGCAGCAGUGGGGAAUAUUGCACAAUGGGGGAAACCCUGAUGCAGCCAUGCCGCGUGUGUGAAGAAGCCUUCGGGUUGUAAAGCACUUUCAGUAGGGAGGAAAGGUACAUAGUUUAAUACGCUAUUACUGUGACUGUUACCUACAGAAGAAGGACCGGCUAACUCCGUGCCAGCAGCCGCGGUAAUACGGAGGGUCCGAGCGUUAAUCGGACAUUACUGGGCGUAAAAGCGUGCGCAGGCGGUUUGUUUAAGCGAGAUGUGAAAGCCCCGGGCUCAACCUGGGAAUUGCUUUUCGAACUGGCGAACUAAGAGUCUUGUACAGGGGGGUUACAAUUCCAGGUGUUGCGGUGAAUGCG